AGGGAAAGAAAGGGUAAGGCAAACAGAAGCAAAACGGGUUUCAGAAGAAAAAAAAAAGAUCCCAAGCAUCGAACGGGAAAAACAAAAGAAAGAGAUUCUCGGGUGUUUCUUUAGCGCCGAAGAUCGUGUUUCAUCUAAUCUUUGGCAUACAAUUCCUUGGGUUUCAGCAAUACACUCCAGAGACAGCAGUUGACGCGGGCGAGGAUUUCAAUAAUUAGAGCGCACAGGUUGAUAUAGUUUCUUGGUGAGCCUUGCACUUGUUCGCACGGGCAGAGAUUUUAUUUAUUGUUAUGGUCGUUCUUUGAACUCUUAGAAUCGCUCCAGAGUCAUCAUUUUGGUGUCAUGAGUAUUAUUUUGUUAUUAUAGUCUUAUGUUGAGUAUCGUUCUUUAUUAUCAAAGUUGGAGAUAAUUAGUGUUUUUAGUUGUUAGUGGGUUGAUUAGCAAUGGUGGAGACUUGUUUUGGUUAAUUGAUAAGUUGUCGAUUGGUUGGUUUGAUUUUAGGAUGGGUUGUUGUUGAUUUUGAGACCGGGAAAAUUUUUGGAUUGUCUAAAAACAGGGAAAACUCUGCCCGAUUUUCUGUAAAAUACUGAUGAGACUUACUUGGAGACACUUGCUCCUGAGCGCCGGUCACGAUCCUGAAUUGGAUCGUGACAUUUGGAGGGAUCCUAAAUUCGCUCAUUUAAUGCUUGAUAAUUUUUCUUGAA